GUGGGCCAGUUCAAUAACUUGAGCUGUAGCCAGACUUUUGUGAGUAAAAGUGUGCGUCUAUACGUGGGUGGGAGGUAGUGCAUGUGGGAAUGCAUCUGCUUGUUUAUUUAUGUAGAUGUACAUAAGGAAUGACAAUAAGGGGGGGAGGGAAAGACAGAGAGAAAAAUAGAGGUUUGGAAGGCAGUUGUAUUUGCAAACUACUGGCUGACUUCCCACUAGAGCCAUGAGAGAUCAGACUGAGAGCCUGCAUUUCAGAAGUGUGUGUGUGUGCAACAGAGUGUGUGUGUUCGCCCAUCUGAGAGGAGAAACGCAGAGACAGAGAGAGAGAGAGAGGGAAAGGGGAGGGAGGAAGGGAGAGGAACCCGUUCAACCCAUUUCAGCGGCAACUUUUCAGCAGGUCGUACAUGAGGUCUCCCUCUGAAUAUGGACACUUUUCGCUCGUCUUCUCUGCCGUCCCACUGCCAGUUUCCAGACACUGAACUUUUUGCCACUCUUUAGGGUGAAGCAACCUGAAUUUUCUCUGCAGUUUUUGCAGGAGGUGAUGACGGCAUUUCAAAUGUCUGCUGGACUGUGUGAAGCAAAUCAAACCUUUUUACCAUCACCUCCUCUUGCGAUGAACAAGGCUGGCAGCACAUCCUGGCAAGGAACCAUUUCACACGUGCCAAAGCUGCAGCUCCAAAGUGCACAGGAAGACAAAGAGUGGCAAUCAAACAUGUGGAGCACAUUUAUCUGUCUUCAUCUCCUUUUUUUCCUCAUUUAAAGCACAAAUAAUCUGAUAGCUGUCGGGGAACUACAAGACAAGUUAGAGCAGGUUUGUAGAAAUCAGAAUAUGAUUUAAUCAGACCUGCACACAUUUACAAAUAUGUAUUCUGAAAAUAGUUUCCAAAGACCGGCAGGAGAUUCUGUGGUUUGCACUCGUGACGAUGUACAGCAGCAACAAAAAGGUUAAGACAACUGAAAACUAACUUACAUGAAUCAUAUUUUCUAUGUUUUUAAUUUCUAAUGAACAUUAAGAGCUGCUUAUCAAACAAAGCUACUAUAGGUCCCACAGGGAACAUUCAACGCUGUCGGUGAGUUUGUGCUAAGAGGAAACCAUCGACCGUUGACUGUACCUUGAGAGACACCUCAGUACAGCUGAUGCCUUAAAAACCAUCACAGCUCAAAGAACCAGAGACGCUCAACAUUUAAGGCUGCAAUAAACAUUCAUUGCUGUCGGUGGGUUUGCACAAAAAUAACUCACUGAUCAAUGAAUGCAGACUGCGGUUCAAAUACCCCCGUUGAUGAUGCAUCUCCAGAGGAUAAAGUGGGAAACAAAACAAAUCCAGUUUCAAGAGCAUAUAGGCUUUAUAGGCAGACAUAUCAGAGGAGGACUGAAUCAGUAGCGGCAGAGCUCAGCUGUUUAGUUUAAUCACACAGGCCUAAACAUCAGAGUAGAGAAGCAGCUGUGAACACAAUGUUCUGUAAAGAUUGUUAAGUGGAGCAUGAGUGGAAAGUUUCUGUGUAAAGAAUCAGCUUUCAGUCAUUUCAUGUUAUCUAGUCAAACAUCAUGUAUUUUAUUAUUAAUUUCCUUUUUUGUUAAAUUCAUAAUUUCAUACAUGAAUUUCAAAGUAAACUUGAGAUUAAAAGGUCUUAUCUAAAUGGGAAACAUGCAUUUGGAGGAAGAAAUGGAUUGAAAUCUAUAUGUGCCUGCAGAAGCAAAUAAAAUUAAUGUUCGUACAUUUGUUUUCUUUUUAGAUGAACAAAUAUGUUAACAUAAUUAAUAUGAUUUUAUAAUAAAAUCUUUAUCAAAGCAA